UUUUCCUACGGGGGGCAGCAGUGAGGAAUAUUGGUCAAUGGGCGGGAGCCUGAACCAGCCAAGUCGCGUGAGGGAAGACGGUCCUAUGGAUUGUAAACCUCUUUAGGCGGGGAGCAAUGCCGGGCACGCGUGCCCGGAGGGAGAGUACCCGCAGAAUAAGCAUCGGCUAACUCCGUGCCAGCAGCCGCGGUAAUACGUAGGUGGCGAGCGUUAUCCGGAAUGAUUGGGCGUAAAGGGUGCGUAGGCGGCCUGCUAAGUCUGGAGUGAAAGGUACCGGCUCAACCGGUACAGGCUCUGGAAACUGG
rnacentral:rRNA from 1 species